rnacentral:rRNA from 1 species
AUUGAACGCUGGCGGAAUGCUUUACACAUGCAAGUCGAACGGCAGCACGGGUGCUUGCACCUGGUGGCGAGUGGCGAACGGGUGAGUAAUGUAUCGGAACGUAUCCAAUAAUGGGGGAUAACUAACCGAAAGGUUAGCUAAUACCGCAUACGCCCUACGGGGGAAAGCAGGGGAUCUUCGGACCUUGCGUUAAUGGAGCGGCCGAUAUCGGAUUAGCAAGUUGGUGAGGUAAAGGCUCACCAAGGCUUCGAUCAGUAGCUGGUCUGAGAGGACGACCAGCCACACUGGAACUGAGACACGGUCCAGACUCCUACGGGAGGCAGCAGUGGGGAAUUUUGGACAAUGGGGGCAACCCUGAUCCAGCCAUUCCGCGUGAGUGAAGAAGGCCUUCGGGUUGUAAAGCUCUUUCGCAAGGGAAGAAACGAUACAGUCGAAUAAACUGUGUUAAUGACGGUACCUUGAUAAGAAGCACCGGCUAACUACGUGCCAGCCGCCGCCGUAAAAC